AACAAACGCUGGCGGCGUGCCUAAUACAUGCGAGUCGAACGGGUAGCAAUAUCAGUGGCGCACGGGUGAGGAAAACAUAGAUAAUCUGCCUUCGAGUCGGGGAUAACCAGUCGAAAGACUGGCUAAUACCGGAUAAGACCACAGGAUCUGCGGAUCUAGGGGUUAAAGGUUUUUCGCUUGAAGAUGAGUCUAUGCGAGAUUAGCUAGUUGGUGAGGUAAUGGCUCACCAAGGCGACGAUCUCUAACUGGUCUUAGAGGAUGAUCAGUCACACUGGAACUGAGACACGGUCCAGACUCCUACGGGAGGCAGCAGUAGGGAAUAUUGCGCAAUGGGGGAAACCCUGACGCAGCGACGCCGCGUGAGUGAUGAAGGCCUUCGGGUCGUAAAGCUCUGUCGUAUGGGAAUAACACAAUGAAUGUACCAUGCAAGAAAGGAUCGGCUAACUUCGUGCCAGCCGCCGCUGUAA
rnacentral:rRNA from 1 species